CCCUUAGAUGUUCUGGGCUGCACGCGCGCUACACUGAUGCGCUCAACGAGUUUACGACCUUGCCCGGAAGGGUUGGGUAAUCUUUUUAAAACGCAUCGUGAUGGGGAUAGAUUAUUGCAAUUAUUAAUCUUUAACGAGGAAUUCCUAGUAAGCGCGAGUCAUCAGCUCGUGCUGAUUACGUCCCUGCCCUUUGUACACACCGCCCGUCGCUCCUACCGAUUGAAUGCUCAGGUGAGCCAUUCGGACUUUCAUCAUGCUGGUUUCCAGUUUUGAUGAAGGAAAGUCUUGCGAACCUUAUCAUUUAGAGGAAGGAGAAGUCGUAACA
rnacentral:rRNA from 1 species